GAGAGCGCAAGAGUGUUUACGGAGUAUUUAAAGACUAAGACAUCUGAUGAAAUUCCAAGCUUACUCCAGUCUUAUUCAAAGUCCUUGACCAUAUCUGCUCACCUUAAAAGAGAUAUUGUAGAUAAGCGGCUCCCUCUUGUGCAUGACUUGGAUAUUAAAGAUGGAAAGCUAUCAAAUUAUAUCGUGAUGUUAGAUAUGUCUGUUAGUACAGCAGAUGGUAAACAGGUAACCGUGCAAUUUGUUCACGGGGUAGAUGUCUACAAAGAAGCAAAGAAUAUUUUGCUUUUGUAUCUCCCAUAUACAUUUUUGGUUACAAUUGCUUUUUCCUUUGUUUUUUCUUAUUUUUAUACUAAACGCUUGCUCAAUCCUCUUUUUUACAUUUCAGAAGUGACUAGUAAAAUGCAAGAUUUGGAUGACAAUAUUCGUUUUGAUGAAAGUAGGAAAGAUGAAGUUGGAAAACAGAUUAAUGGUAUGUAUGAGCACUUGUUGAAGGUUAUUCAUGAGUUGGAAAGUCGUAAUGAGCAAAUUGUAAAAUUGCAAAAUCAAAAGGUUUCCUUUGUCCGCGGAGCAUCACAUGAGUUGAAAACCCCUUUAGCCAGUCUUAGAAUUAUCCUAGAGAAUAUGCAGCAUAAUAUUGGAGAUUACAAAGAUCAUCCAAAAUAUAUUGCAAAGAGUAUAAAUAAGAUUGACCAGAUGAGCCACUUAUUGGAAGAAGUACUGGAGUCUUCUAAAUUCCAAGAGUGGACAGAGUGUCGUGAGACCUUGACUGUUAAGCCAGUUUUAGUAGAUAUUUUAUCACGUUAUCAAGAAUUAGCUCAUUCAAUAGGUGUUACAAUUGAAAAUCAAUUGACAGAUGCUACCAGGGUCGUCAUGAGUCUUAGGGCAUUGGAUAAGGUUUUGACAAACCUGAUUAGUAAUGCAAUUAAAUAUUCAGAUAAAAAUGGGCGCGUAAUCAUAUCCGAGCAAGAUGGCUAUCUCUCUAUCAAAAAUACAUGUGCGCCUCUAAGUGACCAAGAACUAGAACAUUUAUUUGAUAUAUUCUAUCAUUCUCAAAUCGUGACAGAUAAGGAUGAAAGUUCCGGUUUGGGUCUUUACAUUGUGAAUAAUAUUUUAGAAAGCUAUCAAAUGGAUUAUAGUUUUCUCCCUUAUGAACACGGUAUGGAAUUUAAGAUUAGCUUGUAGACAGAUUAGUUUUUUAUUAAAGUUCAUAUAGGGUUAACAUAAGUGUGUUAUUCUUUGUGUAGAUAAAAGAAAGGAUACUAAUAUGGUAUUAGCGAUUAUUUUAGUAACAUUCCUUAUUCGAUUGAUUUUUUUAAAGCGUUCGAUAGAGAAUGAGAAACGAAUCCUUAGCAAUGGCGGGAAAGAAUUUGGAGUUGAGAAUACAAAACGAUUAACUAUGGGUCAUAUUGUUUUUUAUCUCUCUUGCUUGGUUGAGGCAAUGGUGCACAAGACAAUUUUUGAUAGCAUGGGCAUGGUUGGUUUAGUCUUGCUUAUUUUUUCUAUGCUGAUGUUAAUGUUGGUGAUUCACUUGUUGGGAGAUAUUUGGACAGUGAAGCUUAUGCUUGUCAAUAAUCACAAAUAUGUAGAUCAUAUCUUGUUUAGGACAGUAAAACAUCCUAAUUACUUUUUAAAUAUUCUUCCUGAGUUGAUUGGCUUGACCUUGUUGAGUCAUGCCUAUAUGACUUUUGUUUUAGUUUUUCCAGUUUAUGCAGUUAUUUUGUAUCGACGAAUAGCUGAAGAGGAAAAGCUAUUACAUGAAGUUAUAAUCCCAAAUGGAAGCAUAAAGAGAUAAAUACAAAAUUCGAUUUAUAUACAGUUCAUAUUGAAGUGAUAUAGUAAGGUUAAAGAAAAAAUAUAGAAGGAAAUAAACAUGUUUGCAUCAAAAAGCGAAAGAAAAGUACAUUAUUCAAUUCGUAAAUUUAGUAUUGGAGUAGCUAGUGUAGUAGUUGCUAGCUUGUUCUUAGGAGGAGUAGUUCAUGCAGAAGAGGUUGGUGGUAGGAAUACCCCCACGGUUACAUCUAGUGGGCAAGAUAUAUCGAAGAAGUAUGCUGAUGAAGUCGAGUCGCAUCUAAAAAAAAUAUUGAGUGAGAUCCAAACACAAUUAGAUAGAAAACGACAUACCGAAACUGUAGCGCUAAUUAACGAGUUGCAAGGCAUUAAGAAAACGUAUUUGUAUAAUUUAAAUGUUUUAAAAGAGAAGUCGAAAGUUGAGUUGCCGUCAAAAAUAAAAGCAAAGUUAGACGUAGCUUUUGAUCAGUUUAAAAAAGAUACAUUGAAACCAGGAGAAAAGGUAGCAGAAGCUCAGAAGAAAGUUGCAGAAGCUAAGAAAAAAGCCGAGGAUCAAAAAGAAGAAGAUCGCCGUAACUACCCAACCAAUACUUACAAAACGCUUGAACUUGAAAUUGCUGAGUCCGAUGUGAAAGUUAAAGAAGCGGAGCUUGAACUAGUAAAAGAGGAAGCUAAGGAACCUCGAGACGAGGAAAAAAUUAAGCAAGCAAAAGCGAAAGUUGAGAGUAAAAAAGCUGAGGCUACAAGGUUAGAAAACAUCAAGACAGAUCGUAAAAAAGCAGAAGAAGAAGCUAAACGAAAAGCAGCAGAAGAAGAUAAAGUUAAAGAAAAACCAGCUGAACAACCACAACCAGCGCCGGCUCCUCAACCAGAAAAACCAGCUCCAAAACCAGAGAAGCCAGCUGAACAACCAAAAGCAGAAAAAACAGAUGAUCAACAAGCUGAAGAAGACUAUGCUCGUAGAUCAGAAGAAGAAUAUAAUCGCUUGACUCAACAGCAACCGCCAAAAACUGAAAAACCAGCACAACCAUCUACUCCAAAAACAGGCUGGAAACAAGAAAACGGUAUGUGGUACUUCUACAAUACUGAUGGUUCAAUGGCAACAGGAUGGCUCCAAAACAACGGUUCAUGGUACUAUCUAAACGCUAAUGGUGCUAUGGCGACAGGAUGGCUCCAAAACAAUGGUUCAUGGUACUAUCUAAACGCUAAUGGUUCAAUGGCAACAGGAUGGCUCCAAAACAAUGGUUCAUGGUACUACCUAAACGCUAAUGGUGCUAUGGCGACAGGAUGGCUCCAAUACAAUGGUUCAUGGUACUACCUAAACAGCAAUGGCGCUAUGGCGACAGGAUGGCUCCAAUACAAUGGCUCAUGGUACUACCUCAACGCUAAUGGUGAUAUGGCGACAGGAUGGCUCCAAAACAACGGUUCAUGGUACUACCUCAACGCUAAUGGUGAUAUGGCGACAGGAUGGCUCCAAUACAACGGUUCAUGGUAUUACCUCAACGCUAAUGGUGAUAUGGCGACAGGUUGGGUGAAAGAUGGAGAUACCUGGUACUAUCUUGAAGCAUCAGGUGCUAUGAAAGCAAGCCAAUGGUUCAAAGUAUCAGAUAAAUGGUACUAUGUCAAUGGCUCAGGUGCCCUUGCAGUCAACACAACUGUAGAUGGCUAUGGAGUCAAUGCCAAUGGUGAAUGGGUAAACUAAACCUAAUAUAACUAGUUAAUACUGACUUCCUGUAAGAACUUUUUAAAGUAUUCCCUACAAAUACCAUAUCCUUUCAGUAGAUAAUAUACCCUUGUAGGAAGUUUAGAUUAAAAAAUAACUCUGUAAUCUCUAGCCGGAUUUAUAGCGCUAGAGACUACGGAGUUUUUUUGGCUCUUUGUCAACUGUAGUGGGUUGAAGAAAAGCUAAGCUCGAGAAAGGACAAAAUUCGUCCUUUCUUUUUUGAUGUUCAGAGCGAUAAAAAUCCUUUUUUUGAAGUUUUCAAAGUUCCGAAAACCAAAGGCGUUUCGUUUGAUAAGUUUGAUGAGAUUAUUGGUCGCUUCCAAUUUGGCGUUAGAAUAGUGUAGUUGAAGGGCGUUGACGAUUUUCUCUUUGUCCUUUAGAAAGGUUUUAAAGACAGUCUGAAAAAUAGGAUGAACCUGCUUUAGAUUGUCCUCAAUGAGUCCGAAAAAUUUCUCCGGUUCCUUAUUCUGAAAGUGAAACAGCAAGAGUUGAUAGAGCUNGCGAGAGAACUCUCGUUAAGGAACUCGGCAAAAUGACCCCGUAACUUCGGGAGAAGGGGUGCUGACUUAAAGUCAGCCGCAGUGAAUAGGCCCAAGCAACUGUUUAUCAAAAACACAGCUCUCUGCUAAAUCGUAAGAUGAUGUAUAGGGGGUGACGCCUGCCCGGUGCUGGAAGGUUAAGAGGAGUGCUUAGCGUAAGCGAAGGUAUGAAUUGAAGCCCCAGUAAACGGCGGCCGUAACUAUAACGGUCCUAAGGUAGCGAAAUUCCUUGUCGGGUAAGUUCCGACCCGCACGAAAGGCGUAAUGAUUUGGGCACUGUCUCAACGAGAGACUCGGUGAAAUUUUAGUACCUGUGAAGAUGCAGGUUACCCGCGACAGGACGGAAAGACCCCAUGGAGCUUUACUGCAGUUUGAUAUUGAGUGUCUGUACCACAUGUACAGGAUAGGUAGGAGUCUAAGAGAUCGGGACGCCAGUUUCGAAGGAGACGCUGUUGGGAUACUACCCUUGUGUUAUGGCCACUCUAACCCAGAUAGGUGAUCCCUAUCGGAGACAGUGUCUGACGGGCAGUUUGACUGGGGCGGUCGCCUCCUAAAAGGUAACGGAGGCGCCCAAAGGUUCCCUCAGAAUGGUUGGAAAUCAUUCGCAGAGUGUAAAGGUAUAAGGGAGCUUGACUGCGAGAGCUACAACUCGAGCAGGGACGAAAGUCGGGCUUAGUGAUCCGGUGGUUCCGUAUGGAAGGGCCAUCGCUCAACGGAUAAAAGCUACCCUGGGGAUAACAGGCUUAUCUCCCCCAAGAGUUCACAUCGACGGGGAGGUUUGGCACCUCGAUGUCGGCUCGUCGCAUCCUGGGGCUGUAGUCGGUCCCAAGGGUUGGGCUGUUCGCCCAUUAAAGCGGCACGCGAGCUGGGUUCAGAACGUCGUGAGACAGUUCGGUCCCUAUCCGUCGCGGGCGUAGGAAAUUUGAGAGGAUCUGCUCCUAGUACGAGAGGACCAGAGUGGACUUACCGCUGGUGUACCAGUUGUCUUGCCAAAGGCAUCGCUGGGUAGCUAUGUAGGGAAGGGAUAAACGCUGAAAGCAUCUAAGUGUGAAACCCACCUCAAGAUGAGAUUUCCCAUGAUUAUAUAUCAGUAAGAGCCCUGAGAGAUGAUCAGGUAGAUAGGUUAGAAGUGGAAGUGUGGCGACACAUGUAGCGGACUAAUACUAAUAGCUCGAGGACUUAUCCAA
rnacentral:rRNA from 1 species